AGAGUUGAUCAUGGCUCAGGACGACGCUGGCGGCGUGCCUAACACAUGCAAGUCGAACGGCAAAAAGCUCGGUUUUUUGUUAGUGGCGGACGGGCGAGUAACGCGUGAGUAACCUGCCCUUCGGUGGGGAAUAACGGCUGGAAACGGUCGCUAAUACCGCAUAAUAUAUCCGGACGGCAUCGUCUGGAUAUCAAAGGAGCAAUUCGCUGAAGGAUGGACUCGCGUCCGAUUAGCUAGUUGGUGAGGUAACGGCUCACCAAGGCGACGAUCGGUAGCCGAACUGAGAGGUUGAUCGGCCGCAUUGGGACUGAGACACGGCCCAGACUCCUACGGGAGGCAGCAGUGGGGGAUAUUGCACAAUGGAGGAAAAACCUCUGAUGCAGCAACGCCGCGUGAGGGAAGAAGGUCUUCGGAUUGUAAACCUUAGUAGUCAGGGACGAAGAAAUGACGGUACCUGAAAAGUAAGCUCCGGCUAACUACGUGCCAGCCGCCGC
rnacentral:rRNA from 1 species